AGACCCGAAACCCGGUGAUCUAGCCAUGGGCAGGUUGAAGGUUGGGUAACACUAACUGGAGGACCGAACCGACUAAUGUUGAAAAAUUAGCGGAUGACCUGUGGCUGGGGGUGAAAGGCCAAUCAAACCGGGAGAUAGCUGGUUCUCCCCGAAAGCUAUUUAGGUAGCGCCUCGUGAAUUCAUCUCCGGGGGUAGAGCACUGUUUCGGCUAGGGGGCCAUCCCGGCUUACCAACCCGAUGCAAACUGCGAAUACCGGAGAAUGUUAUCACGGGAGACACACGGCGGGUGCUAACGUCCGUCGUGAAGAGGGAAACAACCCAGACCGCCAGCUAAGGUCCCAAAGUCAUGGUUAAGUGGGAAACGAUGUGGGAAGGCCCAGACAGCCAGGAUGUUGGCUUAGAAGCAGCCAUCAUUUAAAGAAAGCGUAAUAGCUCACUGGUCGAGUCGGCCUGCGCGGAAGAUGUAACGGGGCUAAACCAUGCACCGAAGCUGCGGCAGCGAACGUAUCACUUAAAGCGAUUCAGCGGGUUACGAUUGACGGAGCGAAGCGACGUCAAAGCGUAUACAAAGUCGAGUCGGUUUAAGGAUACGUUCGUUGGGUAGGGGAGCGUUCUGUAAGCCUGUGAAGGUGUGUCGUGAGGCAUGCUGGAGGUAUCAGAAGUGCGAAUGCUGACAUAAGUAACGAUAAAGCGGGUGAAAAGCCCGCUCGCCGGAAGACCAAGGGUUCCUGUCCAACGUUAAUCGGGGCAGGGUGAGUCGACCCCUAAGGCGAGGCCGAAAGGCGUAGUCGAUGGGAAACGGGUUAAUAUUCCCGUACUUGGUGUUACUGCGAAGGGGGGACGGAGAAGGCUAUGUUGGCCGGGCGACGGUUGUCCCGGUUUAAGCGUGUAGGCUGGUUUUCCAGGCAAAUCCGGAAAAUCAAGGCUGAGGC
rnacentral:rRNA from 1 species